ACUGAACGCUGGCGGCAGGCUUAACACAUGCAAGUCGAGCGGAGAUGAGGUGCUUGCACCUUAUCUUAGCGGCGGACGGGUGAGUAAUGCUUAGGAAUCUGCCUAUUAGUGGGGGACAACAUUCCGAAAGGAAUGCUAAUACCGCAUACGCCCUACGGGGGAAAGCAGGGGAUCUUCGGACCUUGCGCUAAUAGAUGAGCCUAAGUCGGAUUAGCUAGUUGGUGGGGUAAAGGCCUACCAAGGCGCCGACCUGUAGCGGGACUGAGAGGAUGACCCGCCACACGGGGACUGAGACACGGCUCAGAAUCCUACGGGAGGCAGCAGUGGGGAAUAUUGGACAAUGGGCGGAAGCCUGAUCCAGCCAUGCCGCGUGUGUGAAGAAGGCCUUUUGGUUGUAAAGCACUUUAAGCGAGGAGGAGGCUACCUGGAUUAAUACUCUAGGAUAGUGGACGUUACUCGCAGAAUAAGCACCGGCUAACUCUGUGCCAGCCGCCGCCGUAAUAC
rnacentral:rRNA from 1 species